UUGGGCGACGGUGGGCCAAAUGGUAUUUGGCUAGCACGUGGUAAAUUAAAAUUUGUGUCACGUGCUUUUGUUUACAAAUAAACAGCGCCACCCAUCGGUGACCUGAGACACCGGUUGUCUUUGGUGCUGUGUAAACAAAGUGACAUUUUCCGCAAAUAAUAUAGUUUGCGUAAUUCAAUCCGUCCAAGAUGUCACAAAGACGUUUGGCCCCGAUGCGGGGGCACACGUUAAUACCUAUCUGGAAUACAGAAGAAUUGUUGGCGAUGAUGAUGGGGGUGUCAUGAUGUCACCUGAGGACUUUGAAGACUACCAGAGAAGAGUUCUGCCAAUGCGUCAAAAGAACCGCCUGUAUGUCAGCUGGUAUUCUCCACCGACUGGUAUCGACUGCAAGCUGGUUGGCCCAGAGAUGCCAUGCUUCUGUACUCACAGAUAUAAGCAACACAAAACAUACUUUGAAACAAUCCCGGAGGCCCGCCCCAUCCUUCUAGCCGUGCAAAGUCCGUGGCUGCCGCAGUAACUCGUACAGCUACGUCCCAUCCCGCUGAAUGGCUCUCAACUAAUCAGGUGCGGCUGUAAAAAUUACUCAGAUGAUUUCACUGCAUUGGCUCAUCUUACAUUUAAACAAAUGGCUGCAAUGGAUAGCUUGAACCAAAAAAUCUAUCUCUAGACACCAACAUUAACCACCUAGCUGAAUUGGUUGCAGAGGUACGGAGCCCUACAAGUAUUGGCGGCCAUCUUGGAUUUCACUGCAUUGGCCUAUCUCACAUUGAAACUGAUGGCUGCAAUGGAUAGCUUGACCCCAAAAACCUAUGUCUAGACACCAACAUCAACCUCCUAGCUGAAUUGGUUGCAGAGUUACAGAGCCCCUACAGGUAUUGGCGGCCAUCUUGGAUUUCACUGUAUUGGCCUAUCUCACAUUGAAACUGAUGGCUGCAAUGGAUAGCUUGACCCCGAAAACCUAUGUCUAGACACCAACAUCAACCUCCUAGCUGAAAUGGUUGCAGAGGUACGGAGUCCUACAGGUAUUGGCGGCCAUCUUGGAUUUCACUGCAUUGGCCUAUCUUUACAUUGAAACUGCUGGCUGCAAUGGAUAGCUUGACCCCAAAAACCUAUGUCUAGACACCAACAUCAACCUCCUAGCUGAAUUGGUUGCAGAGUUACAGAGCCCCUACAGGUAUUGGCGGCCAUCUUUGAUUUCACUGCAUUGGCUCAUCUGACAUUGAAACAAAUGGCUGCAAUGGAUAGCUUGACCCCAAAAACCUAUGUCUAGACACCAACAUCAACCUCCUAGCUGAAUUGGUUGCAGAGGAACGCAGCCCUACAGGUAUUGGCGGCCAUCUUGGAUUUCACUGCAUUGGCCUAUCUUACAUUGAAACUGAUGGCUGCAAUGGAUAGCUUGACCCCAAAAACCUAUGUCUAUGGGGAUCUAUGUGAGUUUUAGGUCCUACGUACAGGUCUCGAACUUGUAAAAUCUGUAACCAGGCCUCCAUGGAUGAAGAGAUUGCCCCAUACUUGGGAGACUGUUUUGAAACCUUCGCUAAUUUUGGAAGAUCGGUGCCUGGCUAUUUGGUUUUAAAAACCCUAUUUUUUCCCAUCAAAACAGCACCUUCCAUUAUUCAAACUAGCAUAUACCCAUAGAGCGGGCAAAGUUGAAAUGUAAUAUACACAUUAGUUAAAUGGGCACGAUGAUUGACCUACAUUAAAUUUCUAACGUUACUGAAGUUUUAUUAAAGGUUAAACACGAAAUUAACUGCAUUUAGGGACUUAUUGCUGCUAUCUACAUGCAACCCCCAAUAGAUUGAUUGGAGUAUGCUAUUUUGCACAAUGCAUUGAGACCAGUGACAGCAGGUCCCGUUCCAAAUAAGGCCCUCACAUAUUAGGCAUAUCACCUACCCACUCCCGUACCCAAUGCCACUGUCGGACCAAAGCCAGGCGCAUGGAGAGAUGCAGAACGCAAUUCAAACUGACAACAUCAGUCAGUAAAGAAGAAAACAAAGAGCAGCGCUGGCCACUGUACAUAUUUUGUCCAUCCUGGCAUAACUGUUUAUUGAUACCCUGACUGCAUGUUCCGGUAAGCCACUCUGCAGAAUUUGCCUUAUCACUCAGGUCAGUGUUUCUCGAAUAGAACUAAAAUAGAACAGGCUAAUCAUUAAUCUCCCUGCUAAUACCCUGCACCAUGGACCAGGUUGUAUAGCACUACAUACGUGCUGGAAGCUAAUACUGAUGUGGCAGGGAGAAUAUGCGUGAAGUUUGUGUAUGCUUUUGAGAAUGAGCGGAUCUCUCCAGUCGACGUGCUCUCUGAAAAGUUGCUAUUUAUUCACCCUCAGUGACACUCUUACUUAUGAUCCACACCUACGAAACCAAAAGUUGCAAGAAUUCGACACAUUUUCGAGGCCCAAUUUUGAAACAAAAAUCGCCUCCUAUUUAGCGGCCACAACGCGCAUUAUAGUAUAGACUAGCAUAUACCAAUGGAGCGGGCAAAGUUGAAAUGUAAUAUACAUUAGUUAAAUGGGCACGAUGAUUGAGCUACAUUAAAUUUCUAACGUUACUGAAGUUUUAUUAAAGGUUAAACACGAAAUUAACUGCAUUUAGGGACUUAUUGCUGCUAUCUACAUGCAACCCCCAAUAGAUUGAUUGGAGUACGCUAUUUUGCACAAUGCGUUGAGACCAGUGACAGCAGGUCCUGUUCCAAAUAAGGCCCUCACAUAUUAGGCAUAUCACCUACCCACUCCCGUACCCAAUGCCACUGUCGGACCAAAGCCAGGCGCAUGGAGAGAUGCAGAACGCAUUUCAAACUGACAACAUCAGUCAGUAAAGAAUAAAACAAACAGCAAGCGCUGGCCACUGUACAUAUUUUGUCCAUCCUGGCAUAACUGUUUAUUGAUACCCUGACUACAUGUUCCGGUAGGCCACUCUGCAGAAUUUGCCUUAUCACUCAGGUCAGUGUUUCUCGAAUAGAACUAAAUUAGAACAGGCUAA